rnacentral:rRNA from 1 species
GGGGAUAUUGCACAAUGGGGGGAACCCUGAUGCAGCGACGCCGCGUGAGGGAAGACGGUUUUCGGAUUGUAAACCUCUGUCUUUAGGGACGAAACAAAUGACGGUACCUAAAGAGGAAGCCACGGCUAACUACGUGCCAGCAGCCGCGGUAAUACGUAGGUGGCAAGCGUUGUCCGGAAUUACUGGGUGUAAAGGGAGCGUAGGCGGGAAUGCAAGUUGAAUGUUUAAACUAUGGGCUCAACCCAUAGUCGCGUUCAAAACUGCAUUUCUUGAGUGGAGUAGAGGCAGGCGGAAUUCCUAGUGUAGCGGUGAAAUGCGUAGAUAUUAGGAGGAACACCAGUGGCGAAGGCGGCCUGCUGGGCUUUAACUGACGCUGAGGCUCGAAAGCGUGGGUAGCAAACAGA